GUUGUGAUAUAUUUCUGUCCCUGUCGUACUAGCGUGUUCCUACCUUGUCUCAUACUUGCUAGCUAUAUAUAUACAUAUAUGUGGUCUUGUCUUGUCAAUUCCCCUUGUUGAGGAUGUCCGUCUGUAGUUUCAAUUUUCUCAAGUGAUAUGAAAACACCCAAAAAAGAGCGAGUUUCAAUCUUAAUCUCCUCGUGCCGUUUGUCAUUUUAUUUGUCAUCAUUCUAGAUUUGUAUUUUCUUCUUUCAUCAUCUAAAUUCUAUCACCUAGCUUUAGCCGAGCAUUGUUGCCGUCGCCUAGUCCCUGUGGAGAACACGACACUGCAGAUUUGGGCGAAAUACCCUGUUGUACUUACGAUUGAUCAUUUUGGCACCGUUGCCAGGGACUAGCGUCGAGUGACUGUGUUAGGCUAUAGACUAGGUUUUUCUUCUUUUUCUAGUUUGUGCCAUAUAUUUGUGAUAUAUCUCUAACCACUAACCCCUGCUCUAGUUAGUAUCUUUUUUGUUUUCUUUUCCUUUUUGCAUGUUAGAAUUAUCUUCUCGGUUAUGGCCUACUAUGCAGUUCAUCAGGCUUAUGCGAGCAACACUACAAACAACACGGAAAGUAUUCAAGAACUGAUAACUAAGAUUUCCCAUCAAUUAGAUGACUUAGCUCGGCGACGAGAAGUAGUUUUUGAGGAUAGGUCUAGCUCUUAUGAUCCUUAUUCUAGAGGCCAUCCUUAUGUUGCUCCUACCUGCCAUAUUUGUGGAUUUCAGGGCCAUUCGCCCGCUGAAUGUCAGCGUGGUUACUCCCAUCCUCCGGAUUGUUUUGGCAUGAGCUUCGCUCAACAGCAUAGCUCAUACCAAAACAAUUACCCAUAUGGGUGGCCUGAAAACCCGAGUAUGUCAUAUAGGAGCAACAACCCUGAGAUCUCAUCGUUUUCUUCUAGUAAUCAUAUGCAGGGAUUUAGGUAUGAAGAGGAGAGCCACAACCAUGCACCACAACAGUUUUAUUCACCUCCUACUCAUAUACCUCAAUACCAGGAGAUGUGUCCAAUGGAGUUAAAUGGUCCUCCAUUUGAUCAACCAACAACACCAGCACCUUCCAAGCAAUCUCUUGUGCAAGUGCCCACACAAGAUGAAUUUGAUGAUAUAGAGAAGCUCACAUUGCUUAGUCUCGAGUUCACUAGGAGUGCUGAAGAUUAUCCAAUUAGGCCGGUGAUACUAGAUGAAAUGAAGAAGAUCAAGAGUGGGAAUGAGCUAGUGGAAGAAGUAAGGAAGAUUGAGAAGAACAUCAACGCUGGCAGCACUAUUUCUUUAUAGCUAGAGCUGAGUAUUUCUGGGAUUUCCAUUGAUACUUGUGAGGUUUCAAUGCCUUCACAUCCAGCUGAGGAAGAUAGUAAGAGCCGUGAGGAAGAGAUACCUCAGAUUCAAGAAGAUGUACUCGAAGACAAGGAACAAGAUGAUCCAGAGCUUGACUACCCAAGUGAUCAAGUUGAAGAUCCAAUGUCUAUCCCUCCUGAAGAAGUAAAAGAAGUUGUUGUAGUUGAAGAUGAAGAACCAGAGAAUCAUUUGCCAAUUGUCAUUCAAGAGUGUGAUAUUGUUCGAGGUGACAUUCCUUGGGACCCUGGUGGACUCAGAGCAUGGGGAUGAGGAGAAGCAAGGAGCACACAUGAAGAAGAGUGAAGCUGGAGCAUGCACGAGGAAGCAAAGGAGAGGAGCUGCAGUUGGUGAGGUGAUCGAGCGAGUGCUACAUCAUCAAAGCCCGGUGAGCUGUUUCAUGACCCAUUUUGAAAUCAUCAUCCAUUGAUGCUUGCUAAAUUAAAUUGCUUUUUGGGUUGCUUGUGCCAUUUCUUAAAUGUUGUCCCACUGAAUUUCACCUUUGACAUAUGGUGCUUGAUGAGAAUAUGCGAACUGAUUGUUGAAUGCCUUGUAAACUAGUGAUCUACACAAUGCUUGCUUUGCUGAAAGUAGUGAAGGCUACUAGUUUUGAGUGCUCAAAUCCCUAGUACACUAGAAAACUUAAUCAUUUUCUUCUUUUACCUUGAUACACCUAGAUCAUUAAGUGUCAGAUGCUGAGUUUGUGCCUAAUGUGUUCCCAUUCAGAGCAAUCACUCACCACUAUGGACUAGCAUGCUAUGUUCCCUGGAUCGGUAGUAUGUGAAUCAGACCUGGAUGAGUGAUGAUUCUUGUUUCCUUUUUGUAUUCAUUUGUUAAAUAAGUAAUAAUGAAUAAAUAAUUAUCUUAUCUUACCUAACAGUAGCAUGUCAUGUUCCCUGGAUCGGUGGCUUGUGAAAUCUGGUUGGAUCGGAUAGGAGUUAAUUAUAUUAAAAAAUGCUAUAUUUGUCGAACCAGGUGUAUACCAUGUUCUCUUGAUCGGUGGUAUGUUCCUUUGGCGAGACAAAUAAAAAAACUAAUAAUUGGUCGAGCCAGGUGCAUACCAUGUUCUCGGGAUCGGUGGUAUGUUCCUUUGGUGAGACCAAUAAAAUAUUACCAUUGCUUCCUUCAAAUUCAAUAAGUGGUUCAACCACAAUGUUCCUGGUAAUAAGUGAUCUGAUCACAAGUUUAAGUUCUUUUUGUUUUUUUUGGAUCAUGCUCUCUUUAGGAACCUUUUGGCACAAUCAGCAUUUGAAUUUGUUGAUCCAUUUUUAUCAUUGUAAAAGUUUAAAAUGAUUGAGUCUACUAGUAUCCUAUUGCUUCGUAGCACUCUUAACCUUUGCUUUUCACAGGUAAUUCCAAAGCAUGCAAUGUUUGGAGAUCUACUUCACUGGGACAUUCUCUAGUCAGCUCACUGUUCACUGUCUAGCUCUUGUCAUAUGCCUUUACUUGAGGACAAGUAAAGAUUUAAGUGUGGGGGAACUUGAUAAGCACAUUUCACAUAUAUAUAAUUUUGGCAUACAAAUAUACCAUUUGUUGAGUUCUGACAUUAGUUUUUGCUAUGAAAUACUGAAUAUUUGAAUGAUAAUCAUAUAAGAGCAUGUUGACUAGUGAAUUGUUUCUUUUGCAGAAAAGUGCGAGAAGGCACUAUAAACUUCAAGAUUCGGUCGAUUGCCAAACGCGAUGAGACUUGGGGCUGGAACGAGAGAACGAGGGACCCGAGCGAGAAGAAAAGAAGUAUCUAGGGGCAAGCUAAUGUUGGAGGAUCAUCUUGAGAAGAAAGGAAGCAGGAGGGCCAAAGUGAAAAAAUGGCAGAUCACAGGAGGUCAAAAUCCCUAGACUCCCUGAUUCCCAAAUCGGGCCUGGCCACAUCUCCCUCUCUUUCCCCUGCCUCCUUCUCCAGCAAAGGCCGCCGCCACGGCCAGGCCGGCGUGGGGCGCGCCACCGGCUCCACUUCGCCGCCGCACCUCCGCACUCCAUCCAUCCAUUCGCUGCACCACGACCCAUCCACCAUAACUACCACGAGUCCCUUGCUGCACCUCAUGCCACCAAUCUGAAUCUCUUCUUCCUUCUUGCUGCUGUUCAUCCCAAUCUCGCUGCUGUUCAUCUUUGCUACUGCCCGCAGCUCUCUUCGUCUCUCUCAAACUUGUUGAUGCAGAUGCCCUCAACCUCCUGCUGCUCCUCUCUUCUUACGCCCCUGCUGUUGCCCCUUCUACCCCUACCUCGCUGCUGCUCUGCUUCUUUUUCAUCCCCACGCUGCUGCUACUCCUUCUCUCUACGCCCCUGCUGCUGCUUCUUUCCCAAUCUUGCCAUUGCCCUUCUGUAUCUCCAACUUGCUGCUGCUCCUCUGAACCUCUUCUCCUCCUAGUGCUGCUUCUAUCUUGUCGCUUCCCUGCAGCGGUUCCUUUCCUUCACCCGCUGCUCUCUCUGUGUAUGUGUGUGCGUGUUCGUGUGUGUGAGAUUGUGUGUGUUUGUACUUCAUAAGUAUUGAUAGUGUGUGAUGAAGAGAUAUGUUAAUUCCAGGGACAUGUAGUUGUUCUUAUAAUUUUGUUGAUCAGUGAGAAUUGGUACUGAUGCUUAUGACCUUCUAUUUCUAUGUAUGAGAUCUAGCUAAACCUGUCAUUUAUAUUCUGUACUUGUUGAAUAGUGUUCAAUUUUCAGUCCCUGUUUUAGCUCUAGUACCCGUGACAUAUAUGUUCGUGAUAUAUGUUUCAUGUGGUUUCGUAUUGCUGUUAUGUUGAUCAUUUUAGUGCUAGUAUUGUGUCUUGUGUAAUCCAAACCAUAUAUGAUUUGUGCGUGUCACUAAUUGUCAGCUAGUAGCUUUUAAUAAUUCA